AAGACUAUAGACCUGCGGAGUACCUGCGGAGGGAUCAUUAAAGAGUUUAACUACUCAAACCAUUGUGAACCUUACCUCAACCGUUGCUUCGGCGGGCGGGCCCGGGCCAAGCCCGGCGCCCCCCCGGCCCCUCGCGGGCGCCCGCCGGAGGUUAACCGAACCCUUGAAUUGUAUGGCCUCUCUGAGUCUUCUGUACUGAAUAAGUCAAAACUUUUAACAAUGGAUCUCUAGAUCGGAAGA
rnacentral:misc_RNA from 1 species